rnacentral:tRNA from 1 species
GCCUGAAUAGCCUUGUGGUUAAGCUGUUCGACUCCUAGUCGUCCGUACUGGGUUUGAGUCCCAGUUUGGGCU